rnacentral:rRNA from 1 species
CGGCGGGCGGGUGAGUAACGCGUGGGUAACCUGCCUCAUACAGGGGGAUAACAGUUGGAAACGGCUGCUAAUACCGCAUAAGCGCACAGUGCCGCAUGGUACCGUGUGAAAAACUCCGGUGGUAUGAGAUGGACCCGCGUCUGAUUAGCUAGUUGGUGGGGUAACGGCCUACCAAGGCGACGAUCAGUAGCCGACCUGAGAGGGUGACCGGCCACAUUGGGACUGAGACACGGCCCAA